rnacentral:misc_RNA from 1 species
UUUCCGUAGGUGAACCUGCGGAAGGAUCAUUUCCGAACAAAUUCUUUAUAAACCAACCAUGUGAAAUGUUUUGGGUUAUUUUUACUCUCUUACGUACCGCUGGCACAUCUUGUAUGUGUGUAUGUGCGCGUAUGUGGAGAGGCCAUGAUGAACUACCUUGUCACAAAGGUUGAUUAUUAUCGUUUUCUCUUUAAAUUUCUUCUUUGAAAGGAGAGGAAAUAACAAAACAAAUGAUAUGACAACUUUUAACGGUGGAUCUCUUGGCUCGU